GAUGAACGCUGGCGGCGUGCUUAACACAUGCAAGUCGAACGGAAAGGCUCCUGCUUGCCGGGGUACUCGAGUGGCGAACGGGUGAGUAACACGUGGGUGAUCUGCCCUGCACUUCGGGAUAAGCCUGGGAAACUGGGUCUAAUACCGGAUAGGACCACAUUUUGGAUGGUGUGGUGGAGAGUUUUUCGGUGUGGGAUGAGCUCGCGGCCUAUCAGCUUGUUGGUGGGGUAUUGGCCUACCAAGGCGUCGCCGGGUAGCCGGCCUGAGAGGGUGUACGGCCACAUUGGGACGGAGAUACGGCCCAGACUCCUACGGGAGGCAGCAGUGGGGAAUAUUGCACAAGGGGCGCAAGCCUGAUGCAGCGACGCCGGGUGGGGGAUGACGGCCUUCGGGUUGUAAACUCCUUUCGCUAGGGACGAAGCGCAAGUGACGGUACCUGGAGAAGAAGCACCAGCUAACUACGUG
rnacentral:rRNA from 1 species